GUGCCAGCCGCCGCGGUAAUACGAAGGGAGCUAGCGUUGUUCGGAAUCACUGGGCGUAAAGCGCACGUAGGCGGGUUUGUCAGUCAGGGGUGAAAUCCCGGAGCUCAACUCCGGAACUGCCCUUGAUACAGCAAGCCUUGAGUCCGGAAGAGGUGGGUGGAAUUCCUAGUGUAGAGGUGAAAUUCGUAGAUAUUAGGAAGAACACCGGUGGCGAAGGCGGCCCACUGGUCCGGCACUGACGCUGAGGUGCGAAAGCGUGGGGAGCAAACAGGAUUAGAUACCCGCGUAGUCC
rnacentral:rRNA from 1 species